rnacentral:lncRNA from 1 species
CCAUGCCUUGCGAACAAGGGGAUCAAAGGAUCCCCUAUUCCAUGAAGGAAGAAGAGGAAAGGAAGAGGACGUGCGGUCCUCUAUUUUUUUUUGGAAAAGAAAAAAAAAAGAAAAAAAGGAAAAAAAAGAAAGAGAGAGAUUCUCUCUUCUCUCUCUCCCUUCUUCCUGAGUUUGAGUCUUCAUUUUCUCUCUCUAAAAGUUUUA